UACGAAGGGGGCUAGCGUUGUUCGGAAUUACUGGGCGUAAAGGGUGUGUAGGCGGUUGUUUAAGUUUGGUGUGAAAUCUCCCGGCUCAACUGGGAGGGUGCGCCGAAUACUGAAUGACUUGGAGUGCGGGAGAGGAAAGUGGAAUUCCUGGUGUAGCGGUGAAAUGCGUAGAUAUCAGGAGGAACACCGGUGGUGUAGACGGCUUUCUGGACCGUAACUGACGCUGAGACACGAAAGCGUGGGUAGCAAACAGG
rnacentral:rRNA from 1 species